GCGUCUGUAGCUCAGUGGAUAGAUCGCCUGUUUUCUAAGUUGAAGGUCAUAGGUUCGACCCCUACUUGGUGCG
rnacentral:tRNA from 1 species